UACGGGGGGGGCAAGCGUUGUUCGGAAUUACUGGGCGUAAAGGGCUCGUAGGUGGCCAACUAAGUCAUACGUGAAAUCCCUCAGCUUAACUGGGGAACUGCGUCUGAUACUGGAUGGCUUGAGUUUGGGAGAGGGAUGCGGAAUUCCAGGUGUAGCGGUGAAAUGCGUAGAUAUCUGGAGGAACACCGGUGGCGAAGGCGGCAUCCUGGACCGACACUGACGCUGAGGCGCGAAAGCUAGGGGAGCAAACGGG
rnacentral:rRNA from 1 species